AGUGAACGCUGGCGGUAGGCUUAACACAUGCAAGUCGAACGGCAGCACAGUAAGAGCCUGUUCUAACGGGUGGCGAGUGGCGGACGGGUGAGGAAUAUAUUCGAAUCUACUUUUUCGUGGGGGACAACGUAGGGAAACUUACGCUCAUAUAGCAUACGACUUACGGGUGAAAGCAGGGAAUCUUUGGACCUUGCGCGUUUGCAUGAGCCGAUGUCGGAUUAGCUAGUUGGCGGGGUAAAGGACCACCAAGGCGACGAUCCGUAGCUAGUCUGAGAGGAUGAUCAGCCACACUGGAACUGACACACAGACCAGACUCCUGCGACGGGCAGCAGUGGGGAAUAUGGGACAAUGGGCGCAUACCUGAUCCUGCCAUACCGCGUGGGUGAAGGAGGCCUUCGGGUUGUAAAGCCCUUUUGUUGGGAAAGAAAAUCUGCAUGUUGAUACCCCGCUGUUCUGACGGUACCCGAAGAAUAAGCACCGGCUAACUUCGUG
rnacentral:rRNA from 1 species